rnacentral:rRNA from 2 species
CACGUAGGCACCAAGCGUUGUCCGGAUUUAUUGGGCGUAAAGAGCUCGUAGGCGGUUGAGUAAGUCGGGUGUGAAAACUCUGGGCUUAACCCAGAGCCGCCACCCGAUACUGCUCUGACUUGAGUUCGGUAGGGGAGCAGGGAAUUCCUAGUGUAGCGGUGAAAUGCGCAGAUAUUAGGAGGAACACCGGUGGCGAAGGCGCUGCUCUGGGCCGAUACUGACGCUGAGGAGCGAAAGCGUGGGUAGCAAACAGG